rnacentral:lncRNA from 1 species
CUGUUUUGUUCAUGUGUUUUCAGACAGCAAAGAACUUCCUUCUGGAAUUUACAACGUAAAACCUCUCAAUAAAUACUAUUUCAUUGAUUAUAGUCUGGAGCAUUUCCAGCCCCUCCUGAGCUUACUUUCUAGAAAAUCUAUGUAAGUACUCCACAGCAAAGCUGAUGAGUUAUUGCAAGCCAAAUUGAUCUUCUCCUUAAAUCAAGGCAUGUAAGUUGUCCAAAAGCAUGAUAGGAAGAGUUUAAGUGCCAAACUGGAGUGGUGCAAGUAGCUAAAAGGAGUUGUGGAGAAAAGACAUUGGUAGUUUCUAGAUAGCAUCUCUUAAAAGGUGGGAGAUUAGCCCUGGUAUUGAGUACUUGAGAGGGAGAAUUCAUCUCAGGAUCCUGGCAGAACAGGCAAAUAGAAGUUGAACUGCAUAUUGCCAUUUCUGGCAAAGGACUGAUAGGAAAAUAGGUUAUUGAGCAUGGCACCUUUAUUUGCUGUUAUUGUAUUCUUCAUACUUGUAGAACUCCAAAGAGCCAGACGUGGCAGUUUUCUGGAGCACUGGAGGGUUCCACAGGAGCUGCCCCCAGAUGCCUUCUGUAUUGCCUGGACCUGGUGCUUCCAGCUGUCAGCUCUGGAGCUGAUAUAGCAGCCCUGUGUUUGAGCAGCUGCAGCCCUGGGAAAGUUGUCUUACAGAGUGAAAGGACACCCAGGCUUCUGGCAGAACUGCCAGGUGGCCUCACAGGAGAUACCUACGUGGACAUAGGACAUCAGUUCUGGGAACAGCUGUUGGUGACUCCUGUUUUCCUGGAAGGAGCCCAACAAGCUUCAGAUGACGGCUGUGGAUGUGUUUCAGGUAGAGCUGCUUGGCAGGAGGUACAGUUAGACUAAAACUAGAUGCCAACCUCAUCAAAUAGAAUAAAAAGAAAAAAAUGAGUUUGAAAAAGAAAGAA